AGCAGCCGCGGUAAUUCCAGCUCCAAUAGCGUAUAUUAAAGUUGUUGCAGUUAAAAAGCUCGUAGUUGAAUUUCGGGACCAAUUUGUUGGUCGUGCCUCGGUACGUACUGGUAUUAUUGGUUUCUCCCUUCUGAAGAACCUCGAUGCCAUUAAUUUGGUGUCGUGGGGAAUCAGGACUGUUACUUUGAAAAAAUUAGAGUGUUUAAAGCAAGCAUACGCUUGAAUACAUUAGCAUGGAAUAAUGAAAUAGGACGUUUGAUUCUAUUUUGUUGGUUUCUAGGAUCGACGUAAUGAUUAAUAGGGAUAGUUGGGGGCAUUAGUAUUCAAUUGUCAGAGGUGAAAUUCUUGGAUUUAUUGAAGACUAACUACUGCGAAAGCAUUUGCCAAGGAUGUUUUCAUUAAUCAAGAACGAAAGUUAGGGGAUCGAAGACGAUCAGAUACCGUCGUAGUCUUAACCAUAAACUAUGCCGACUAGGGAUCGGAUGAUGUUAAUUUUUAAUGACUCAUUCGGCGCCUUACG
rnacentral:sRNA from 1 species